UUGCCUAAAGGGAUUCCUAUCUCUUCCUUUCUCUAAUAUCGCUGCACACACUCCUGUCGGGUCGCCAUAUUGGGCUGCACCGUUCAACUUGUGAUUUCAUUAAGUUCUGGCUAGUGAGCUUCUGCAUAGUGUACCGUGGAUUUAUUACAUUAUAUUUAUUUCAAUGGCGUUUCAGUGUCAAAGGGACUGUUACAUGCAAGAGUUUGUCACCUCAGUGGUGUCUUGCUCACCUGGUGAAAUAAAACAAGAAAUCAAUGGCAAGAAAGAAACCGUUAAAGGCUUCAAUGUCAAGCUCCAAGACACCAUAUUGUUUCCUGAGGGAGGUGGUCAGCCAGAUGACCACGGGCUGAUUGGAGAUGUGCCGGUGCUGCGGGUGACGAGGCAGGGAGCUGAGGCUGUGCACUUUGUGAGUUCAGCUCUAGAGGUGGGCCAGGAGGUGCAGCUGAAGGUGGACUGGGAGCGGAGGUUUGACCACAUGCAGCAACACUCCGGGCAACAUCUAAUCACAGCUAUUGCAGAAUCCAUGUUUGGGUACAAGACCACAUCCUGGGAGUUGGGGCGUCAGCGCAGCACCAUAGAGCUGGACACUCACUCCAUGAAGCCUGCCCAGGUGGAGGCACUCGAGGCAGCAGUCAAUGAGAAGAUACGUGCUCAUGUUCCCGUCGCUGUUCAGGUCCUCUCCUUAGAUGACCCUGCAUUGGAACAGGUGAGGAGUCGCGGUCUCCCGGACGACGCAGCGGGGCCUAUCCGGAUCAUCGACAUCGAGGGCAUUGACGUCAACAUGUGCUGUGGGACCCACGUGUCCAACCUCAGUCACUUACAGGUCAUAAAACUCCUGGGGACUGAGAAAGGAAAGAAGAACAAAACUAAUCUGUUAUUUCUAGUGGGAAACCGGGUCCUGAAGUAUGCUGAGAAAAGCUACAGCACAGAACGCUCACUGGUAUCCCUCCUCAAAACGGGCCCAGAUGAUCAUGUUGAUACAGUGGACAAGAUCCAGAAGACUGUUAAGGGUCUACAGAAAAGUAACCUGGGCCUACUGAGAGACGUGGCUGUUCUAAUAGCCCAGAACUUCAAGUCCAACCCAGAGAGGGGCAACUUCUUUACCUUACACAAGAAGGAGGGUGACAACGAGUUCAUGAGCAUCAUAGCCAAUGAAAUAGGCACUGAGGAGACGUUGGUUUUCCUGACUGUUGGAGAGGAGAAAGGACCAGGGCUGUUCCUGCUGGCAGGACCCAGUGGGAAAGUGUCUGAACUGGGACCACGAGUGCUGGAGAUGCUCCAGGGCAAAGGGGCUGGGAAGAACGGGCGCUUCCAGGGCAAAGUAAACAGCAUGGCACGCCGAGGGGAGGUGGAGACCCUAAUACAGGAACACUGCAAGAACGAGCAGUAAUGGAUGACUGGAAACUCAAGCACAUGAUGACCACAACUACAUACAGACAACAUAGGUGACCCACUGCAGUUCUCGACCAGCUUUCCUAACUAGCCUCUACAAGGUGUUGAAAGCGUUCCACAGAGAUGCCUGCCCAUGUUGACUCCAAUGCUUCCCACAGUUGUCAAGUUGUCUGGAUGUCCUUUGGGUGGUGGAUGCACACAGGAAACUGUUGCUUGUGGAAAAACCCAGCAGCAUUGCAGUUCUUGACCCACUGAAGAGGCUCUGCAUUGGGACCUACUACCAUAUCCCGUUCAAAGGCGCUUAAAUCGUUUUGUCCUGUCAAUUCAUCCUCUGAAUGGCACACGUACACAAUCCAUGUCUCAAGGCUUAAACAUACUUCUUAAACAUGUCUCCUGCUCUUCAUCUACACUGAUUGAAGUGGAUUUAACAGGAGAAAUCAAUAAGGCUUUCACCUGAAAAUGGCGCCGACAGAUGGGGCUGCUGUGCUUCUAGCUCGAGGGCAACUUUGCAGUAUUUUGUUUUUAUGUGACAAGUCAAAUUUGAUUCGAAUCACCUGGUCAGUCUGUCAUGGGAAGAACAUGUGUUCCUAAUGUUUUGUACACUCGGUGUACAUUGUUACUAUAUCGUAUAAAUGAAUGAAAACAAAAAUUGGCUAAAUGGUCUUAAUUUUAGGCAAGGGUUAGGCAUUAAGGUUCAAAUAAAAUGUUAUGGCUUUGGCUGUGCCAGCUAGUGACCACUGCAGAGCUGCAUCCACGACAAGAUUAAUUUCAGUAAAAGUCAACCUGUGCUUUGCUAAGUAAUGAUAAUUCCGACCUCAGAGAUGACCACAGUGUACAGUCUAAAUCAAGGAGCUGUAAAUAUUAUGAAUAAGAAUACUAGAUAUAUUCAUGAAUACAAGUUAUGGAAAAUGUAAAAAUGUUGGACUAAGGAAGCACACCCAUGUAAUUCAUGAUUAACAUUGCAUUAAUUUUGAAUGUUUGAAGUUAUCCUUUUAAAUUGUAUUUGUUCUGUGCUUAUCAGUCUUCUUUUGAUUCUGUUGUAUAUUUCACCUUCAGUAAAUCAAAGGAAAGUAUAUACAUUUGGACAGUCAUUUUCAUUUGGUCUGCAGUUGCAUAACCAAAAGAAGGACCGACCUUGUCAAUUAACUUGCCAUCGUGCCAUCUGUCAGUUCUACGUAUUUGCAGGGAGUGACGGCUGUGUGACGUGUGAACCUGUGUAAUCAGUGAGCGUGAGGCCAAAGUCCAGGGUUCCAUAUACAGAUGUAGGCUCUUCAUUUGAUCACCCUGUUGCAGGAAUGCAAACUUAUAGUGUAUUUGAGCUUUACAAAGGCUUCUAAACCUUGUAAUUUCCACUUUGAAGUGUCAGAAUUGAUUUGCCCUAACAAAAAAAAUGAAUCAACCCCUACAAACGUAUUUCACAUUUCCUGUUGACAACUGGUUUGGCUCAUAUUGUUAGCUACUGAUUUUGGGGUUUGAAAACCAUGUCAUGAUUGUGCAGCAGGUAGCCUAGUGGUUAGUGUUGGGCCAGUAACCGAAAGAUUGCUAGAUCGAAUCCCCGAGCUGACAAGGUAAAAAUCUGUUAUUCUGCCCCUGAAUAAGGCAGUUAACCCACUCUUCCUAGGCUGUCAUUGAAAACAACCAUUUGUUUUUAAUUAACUGACUUGCCUAGUUAAAUAAAAAUGGUCAUUUUA